UACGAAGGGGGGCUAGCGUUGUUCGGAAUUACUGGGCGUAAAGGGCGCGUAGGCGGUGUGUCAAGUCAGGCGUGAAAGCCCCGGGCUCAACCUGGGAACCGCGCUUGAGACUGGCACGCUCGAGUUCGGGAGAGGAUGGUGGAAUUCCCAGUGUAGAGGUGAAAUUCGUAGAUAUUGGGAAGAACACCGAUGGCGAAGGCAGCCAUCUGGACCGACACUGACGCUGAGGCGCGGAAAGCGUGGGGAGCAAACAGG
rnacentral:rRNA from 1 species